UACGUAGGUGGCAAGCGUUGUCCGGAAUUAUUGGGCGUAAAGGGCGUGUAGGCGGUCAUUUAAGUCUGGUGUGAAAGAUCUCAGCUCAACUGAGAGAUUGCAUUGGAAACUGAAAGACUAGAGUAUCGGAGAGGAAAGCGGAAUUCCAUGUGUAGCGGUGAAAUGCUUAGAUAUAUGGAGGAACACCAGUGGCGAAGGCGGCUUUCUGGACGAAAACUGACGCUGAGGCGCGAAAGCGUGGGGAGCAAACAGG
rnacentral:rRNA from 1 species